rnacentral:tRNA from 1 species
GUCUUUUUAGUAUAAACAAUAUGAGUGACUUCCAAUUACUAGACCUUGGUGAGGACCCAAGAAAAGGCA